AUAAUUACUUGGCAGAGGUGAUACCAUGAUCACAAAGGUGAUUUCCCCAGGGUGAGGUUCAACCAUUGCCCUCCAGAUGUGUUGACCUCUGCAAUUUCCCCCAGAUGUGAGAAAUUCUACUGCAUUAUUUGUCAUAGUGGGGGGAUGCUUUCAUGCUCUCCCCUG